rnacentral:misc_RNA from 1 species
GUAGGUUAUUGCCAGGGUUUUUAUUUUUAUACUUUUAACUUUGAUUUUAUUUUUAUGUUUUUUAAAUAUUGGUGUUUUUGAAUGUGUUGUUUAAAUAACAUAAUUAAUAAAAUAUAUAUUGACAUGUAUUAAACAAAGAUAUAUAUUAUUUUAUGUUGUAUAAAUAAAUUGGCAAAAUAGAGAUGGAAGAUAAAAAUAUGGUCAAAGUAAUAAGAGUCUAUGGUGAAUGCCUA